rnacentral:lncRNA from 1 species
ACAUCUACACUCCAAAUAAUCAUAUUAACAUCUAGCUUGGACAUCUUCAUUUAUUGAUAGUUCAUCUUGGGGAGAAAGGUCCUGGCUAGGCUAGGAAAUUGAUUUUGAUUUUGACUGUAACAUUUUUUAUCUGAAACAUAAGGGAUGGGUGUGAUAAUGUAGGCUCUCGCACCACUUAGAGUUCAAGAAGAUGCUUGGGUAAUCGGAUUAAAUGCAAGCUGCUCAGCACAAGUUAGUACUUCAUGAGGACCUGCUUCCUCACGACCAACACCCAUAAGGUCAAGGUAAUACUGGUAAUGGGAAACGAUGUUGUUCAUGGCGUCAAUGUCACCCUGGCCACAAACUCCAUCCCCAUAUAAAACAUUCAUUGUUGUGCCAAAUCCAGGAAACCGCUUGGACUCCGUAUCAUUCUUGGUGGGCUUCCAAGUGCCA